UAGGGCAUGAACCUGGCAUACAAUGUAGAUUUCUGUGUUUGUUGGGCAACAGCUACAUUGUCUGCUGGGUUUCAGGCUACCUGG
rnacentral:pre_miRNA from 1 species